rnacentral:rRNA from 1 species
GACGAACGCUGGCGGCGUGCUUAACACAUGCAAGUCGAACGGAAAGGCCCUGCUUGCAGGGUACUCGAGUGGCGAACGGGUGAGUAACACGUGGGUGAUCUGCCCUGCACUUCGGGAUAAGCCUGGGAAACUGGGUCUAAUACCGGAUAGGAGCCAUUUUUAGUGUGAUGGUUGGAAAGUUUUUUCGGUGUAGGAUGAGCUCGCGGCCUAUCAGCUUGUUGGUGGGGUAAUGGCCUACCAAGGCGGCGACGGGUAGCCGGCCUGAGAGGGUGGACGACCACAUUGGGACUGAGAUACGGCCCAGACUCCUACGGGAGGCAGCAGUGGGGAAUAUUGCACAAUGGGCGCAAGCCUGAUGCAGCGACGCCGCGUGGGGGAUGACGGCCUUCGGGUUGUAAACUCCUUUCGCUAGGGACGAAGCUUUUGUGACGGUACCUAGAUAAGAAGCACCGGCUAACUACGUG